GACGAACGCUAGCGGCGUGCUUAACACAUGCAAGUCGAACGAUGAAGCUAGAGCUUGCUCUGGUGGAUUAGUGGCGAACGGGUGAGUAACACGUGAGUAACCUGCCCCGAACUCUGGGAUAACUGCUGGAAACGGUAGCUAAUACUGGAUACGACCAACGAAGGCAUCUUCUGUUGGUGGAAAGAAUUUCGGUUCGGGAUGGACUCGCGGCCUAUCAGCUUGUUGGUGAGGUAACGGCUCACCAAGGCGACGACGGGUAGCCGGCCUGAGAGGGUGAUCGGCCACACUGGGACUGAGACACGGCACAGACUCCUACGGGAGGCAGCAGUGGGGAAUAUUGCACAAUGGGCGCAAGCCAGAUGCAGCAACGCCGCGUGAGGGACGACGGCCUUCGGGUUGUAAACCUCUUUUAGUAGGGAAGAAGCGAAAGUGACGGUACCUGCAGAAAAAGCACCGGCUAACUACGUGCCAGCCGCCGCUGUAA
rnacentral:rRNA from 1 species